UGCUGAGAUAAAAACACAAGACGAGAAGACCCUGUGGAACUUCAAGUUUCCCAUUAGAAAACAAUGGCCCACGCCUAAAAACCUAAUGGGUACUUUCAGUUGGGGCAACUACGGAGUAAAAAGAAACCUCCACGCACCGCAAUUAACACCUGCACCCCAGGCCCACACGCCACCCAAACCAGACCCAGCAAAGCUGAUCAUCGAACCAAGCUACCCCAGGGAUAACAGCGCUAUCCCCUUCAAGAGUCCAUAUCGCCAAGGGGGUUUACGACCUCGAUGUUGGAUCAGGACCCCCAGGCGGUGAAGCCGCUGCCAAAGGUUCGUUUGUUCAACGAAUAAUGUCCU
rnacentral:rRNA from 1 species